GAGGCCAAGGUGGCUACCUGCUUCAUGUGUGGUCUCCGGGACCAUCGCGGUGGAGGUGAAGGAAGCGCUGACCUUCCCUGUGGAAUAGUGGGCCGCGUUCAGCUUGUCCACUUUCUUCUUCUCCGGGGCCUUCAUGGUGGCUGCCAGAAUCUCGUCCCCUUUGAACUCCUUGUAGAGCUCCUGCAGGGUCUCUCGGGUCUCGGCAUUUGUAUUUUUCAGAUAAUAAGACGGGUCCUGUUUGGCCUUCUCUUCAUCUACAAAACAGUAGCAUGGCCCUGAGCCGCCGAGCCCCCAGUAGCCUCCCCACACACGUGCUGGGGACACAGAUCUAGAAUAGCCCAGGGCCGUCCAGCCAUGGCGCAGGCACCGUGCCACUGCCAGCCACAGAAUGCCACAGUGCCCCGCUACAGGCCUGAAGGUCUCCCCAGGCAGUUCACAAGGGUCUCAGGAUGGACUUCAGGUUGAUUUGUAUAUUUUAUAUUUAUCUGUAUAUUCUAAUCUUUUUAGAGUAUACGCUUUGCUUUUUUUUUCUUUUUUUUUUUUUUUUUUUUUGUGGAGAUGGAGUCUCGCUCUAUCGUCCAGGCUGGAGUGCAGUGGUGCAAUCUCGGCUCACUGCAAGUUCUGCCUCCCAGGUUCACGCCAUU
rnacentral:lncRNA from 10 species